rnacentral:misc_RNA from 1 species
GUGAAGAACAUGAACAGGUCUCUUGCUUGCAAAGAAUCUGUUCACCUCACCAUCCAUAACACCUGUGAAUUGUAAGAUGUGGUGGACUAUUAUCAGUCCCCUGUCUGCUCCCAUUUUUAACAUCUAGUGGUAACAAAAGUAGUCUUAUUAUAAUGUAAUA